rnacentral:rRNA from 1 species
AUAGAUACCCCGGUAGUCCAUGCCGUAAACGUUGGGAACUAGAUGUAGGGUCCAUUCCACGGAUUCUGUGUCGCAGCUAACGCAUUAAGUUCCCCGCCUGGGGAGUACGGCCGCAGGGCUAAAACUCAAAGGAAUUGACGGGGGCCCGCACAAGCGGCGGAGCAUGCGGAUUAAUUCGAUGCAACGCGAAGAACCUUACCAAGGCUUGACAUAUACCGGAAACGGCUGGAAACAGUCGCCCCGCAAGGUCGGUAUACAGGUGGUGCAUGGUUGUCGUCAGCUCGUGUCGUGAGAUGUUGGGUUAAGUCCCGCAACGAGCGCAACCCUCGUUCUUUGUUGCCAGCACGUCAUGGUGGGAACUCAAAGGAGACUGCCGGGGUCAACUCGGAGGAAGGUGGGGAUGACGCCAAAUCAUCAUGCCCCUUAUGUCUUGGGCUUCACGCAUGCUACAAUGGCCGGUACAAAGGGCUGCAAUACCGUAAGGUGGAGCGAAUCCCAAAAAGCCGGUCUCAGUUCGGAUUGAGGUCUGCAACUCGACCUC